CCUCAGUAUAUUUUUGUGCUCUCGAUGUUUAACAUUUUAUUAUUCGCCUUAUUUAAAAAACAUAUAACUAAUAUUUUAUUAUUAUUAGAUAAUAAAAUAUAAAUAAUACUUUUAUAUGUGACUAUUUUUUAUUUUUUAAUUAUUUUAAAUAAAACGAAUAGUUAAAAGUUAAACACGAAAAUCUAUGAAUACAGUUAUA
rnacentral:pre_miRNA from 1 species